CUUUCAUCGGGCCGGGUAGUGGAUCGAAGAACGAUCCCUGGCCGGCUCCAGAUCCGCUCUCGUCAAGCGGGCGACGGGGUGGGGAUUCUGCUCAGGUGAUCGGCGCUCUUUCUUCUUCUUUGGAAUCGAUCGCAUCCUUUUUCGAUCGUGUUGAUUGAUUGUUCUUGUUCUUGAUCGUGUUUUUCUCUUGCCGGUUCCUUUGAAGAUCGGAAUCUGGUUUUCUAUCUUGCUAUUGUUCGAUCGCCUUUCCUCGGUUGAUCACCGUUUCUCGUCCCGUUAUUGUCGCCUUCGAUGAAAUCUUUGAUCUGACCGCGUCCCAAAUCAAAAUAUUCGUGGGCGGAAUCGGACCGGGCACAUGUUCCGUUGUCUUCACUCGAUUGUACUUCUUGUAGGCUGGAUCUUGUUCUUGUGCUCGAUCGUGUUUGUUCUUGCCGGUUCCUUUGAAGCGCUGGAUCCAGAUCUCCAUCUUGCUAUUGCUUGAUCGCCUUGCUUCAGUGGAUCUGUGAAUUAGCAGGGUUUUUGGGUUGAUCGGCCUUUCUUGUUCCGUUAUUGUCGUCGUCGAUGAAAUCCUUGAUCUGACCGCAUCCCAAUUCGAAAUAUUCGGGACCGAACCGUACCGGGUACAUCUUCCGUUCUUUUCACAUGUUUGUUCUUCUUGUUGGCUGAAUAUUGUUCUUGUGCUCGAUCGUGUUUGUUCUUGCCGGUUCCUUUGGAGAUCUGGAUCCACUUCUCCAUCUUGUUAUUUCUUGAUUGCCUUGCCUCGGUGAGUAGGGUUUUUCCUGGGUUGAUCGGCUUUUCUUGUUCCGUUAUUGUUGCCUUGGAUGAAAUCUUUGGUCUGAGGGCGUCCCGAUUCAAAAUAUUCCGGACCGAAGCGGUUCGGUUCAUUAAGUUUCGUCCGCGGCCAAAGAGGUGGGGCAUUCUAGGUUUUAGGUUCGACGUUGUCUGUCGUCCUGAGCCCCUGUUCUUGAUCUCUCAUCGCGAUCGAGCGGCGAGUUCUUGGCGCGGAGGCGGAGUCAUGAAGGAGGGGGAGGAGCAGCAGGGGGGCCCCCAGUCGCCGCCCAGCAGUGUUGGUGUCGAUGGCGCCGCUGUCGACUCAGCGAUGCCAUCAUCCGAUCUCAAAGAAAGUCGAAAACUGCCUGGAACAGUUAAUUGGGGUACAGCAACUAUUGUUGGAGUAUUUGCAGGACUGCUAUAUGGUGGAAGCAAAGAGGCUUCUGCAUCUGUGAGCAAGGAUGCAGAAGUUAUGUUGAAGCUUGGGAGUACUCCAGACAAGCGUGAACAGUACAGAAUAAUGAGAGAUGCAAUGGAGAAAAGAUUCAUCCGCGUAGCUCGUGGUUCAAUUGUUGGUGGUGUUCGCCUUGGCAUGUUCACUGCAGCAUUUUAUGGCUUGCAAAAUCUCCUGGCUGAAAAGCGUGGUGUGCAUGAUGUGUAUAAUGUGGCUGGUGCUGGUUCUGCAACUGCUGCAAUGUUUGGUCUUAUAAUGCCAGGUUCCUUGAAGUGGCGUGCUAGGAAUGUGUUGCUUGGUUCAGUCCUGGGAGCUGGAAUUUGUUUCCCUUUAGGUUGGGUACAUCUGAAGCUGAUGGAGAAGGCAAAUGAAGAAAGAUUAAAUUCUAAACCUUCUGAUCUGGAUGAGGAGGGAGAGACUAAUAGAAGCCGUGUUGGUGCUGCCAUAGAGAGGCUUGAGGGGAACCUACGCCGGUAGCAGCAGUUAUCUAUUACCUUGUGGAAGGAAAAAAUAAAGCAGACCAGGAGGAAAUAAGCAGGCAGACAAGGCUCAGCUGAGCAACAGAAGAAUUUACUGGUUUUCUUGACCUUGCGCUGUGCGAGACAGUAUGGUUGAUCCAGAAUUUUCACUGAUUUCUUCAGGAGUAAUGAUUCUUUGCUCAAACCAAAUCUGUGGUAACCAUAAACUACUUGGUUUCCAUACACGGAAGGCCAAGGCCUAUGAGCCAUCAUGGAUAGAUGUUGUCUCGGUAAACAAAUGGAAGGUUGACUUUGAUUUGCUGUAACCUACGGCAAAUCUGCAUGAGUUUUAAUGCCCUUUUUAGGGAACAGUAAAGCUUGGAUAUAUUUCUGGUUUGGCAUUGGGGUUAGAAGCGGGCGGCACCGAGUUGGCAUACACGGCAACCCAUUCGGUAUACAUGAG